UACAGGGGGGGGCAAGCGUUGUUCGGAAUUACUGGGCGUAAAGGGCUCGUAGGUGGCCAACUAAGUCAGACGUGAAAUCCCUCAGCUUAACUGGGGAACUGCGUCUGAUACUGGAUGGCUUGAGUUUGGGAGAGGGAUGCGGAAUUCCAGGUGUAGCGGUGAAAUGCGUAGAUAUCUGGAGGAACACCGGUGGCGAAGGCGGCAUCCUGGACCAACACUGACACUGAGGAGCGAAAGCCAGGGGAGCAAACGGG
rnacentral:rRNA from 1 species